rnacentral:rRNA from 1 species
GUGCCAGCAGCCGCGGUAACACGUAGGGCGCAAGCGUUGUCCGGAAUUAUUGGGCGUAAAGAGCUCGUAGGCGGACUGUCACGUCUGCUGUGAAAAGCUAGGGCUUAACCCUGGCCUUGCAGUGGAUACGGGCAGACUAGAGGUAGGUAGGGGAGAAUGGAAUUCCCGGUGUAGCGGUGAAAUGCGCAGAUAUCGGGAGGAACACCGGUGGCGAAGGCGGUUCUCUGGGCCUUACCUGACGCUGAGGAGCGAAAGCGUGGGGAGCGAACAGGAUUAGAUACCCUGGUAGUCC